CCUCCCAAACAAGCAUCUCUUGCUGUGGCCCAACGAACCUUCCUCCAAUGUAGAGAGGAGAGCGAGUCCUCCUCCUGCUCCUCCUCCCAUCACUCCACCUCUCCCUCCCCAUUCCAUCGGUUCUUGCGCCGAUUGGGAUCGUUGAUAAUGCCCUGCUCCCCUUUGUCGCCAUGCUCGCGGAUUCGAUCAUGGCUGCGGGAUUACGAUAGGAUCCAGGCGGUGGCUGUCGUCCUCAUCUACAUCCAAAUUGGUUGUGCUUUGAUUGGAUCCCUUGGUGCAUUGUUUAAUGGUGUGUUGCUGAUCCAUCUCGUGGCUGCACUCUUUGCCCUUGUUGCGAUCGAGAGCAGUAGCCAGAGCCUUGGCCGGGCUUAUGCUGUACUUCUUUUCUGUUCCAUUAUGCUUGAUAUUGCAUGGUUCAUACUCUUCACCCAUACAAUUUGGGAGUAUGAUCCUGAGAAAUAUGGGCAAUUCUUUGUCUUCUCAAUCAGACUUGCCUUGUCAAUGCAAAUUGUGGGCUUUACCGUAAGGUUAUUGUCCUCAUUUCUGUGGAUUCAGAUAUACAGACUGGGAAUUUCAUGUGUCAAUAGUACAACCUCUCGUGAAGCAGAUUUUGACGUGAGGGAUAGUUUUUUGAAUCCUCCAACUCAUGAAAUAACCUUGGAGAACUCCAAUGCUGAUGGCAUUAUAGGUGGCUCUAUCUAUGAUCCAGCUUACUACUCCUCUGUUUUUCAAGAUGCUCAAGAUAAGGGAUGUGUCUGUGAGGGUGAUAAUCAAAUUAUUGGUCAUAAUAGUGGCUUGGCAUCAGUUGCUGAAACUUCACAACUUCGGUUAGGCCAUAGCAGGUCCUACCAUUGAUGUUGAUAGUACAUUGAGAAAGCCACUGGGUCGAUGAAUUACUCUCUACCAAGCAUAUAACUCUGUUCAGCAUCUGUCCCAUGCGUUCUCCUUUAACUUUCGUUUCCUCAACCUGGGUCAUGCUGUACAGACAACUCGUCUUUGUAUAGUUAGCCAUUUUUAGCUAUUUUUUGGCCCAGGUUUAAUAGAAAGAGAACCACAGUUUUUGCUUGCCAUUACAUGCUAUGGGAAUGGUGGUUGUUGCUUCAGAAACUGGAACGCGAGGAUAAGAGGAUAUCAGUUAGGAAUUUGGAAGCCUUGUUCUUUCCGGUUCCUUUGGAGUUAAAGUCAACUUUGCGAAGCAUUGGUCAUGUGGUUGACUUGUGUGUAUAAAAGGGCUUCGAAGGUGAUGACCCAGAACUCCUGCAGAACUUCUAAUUUUUCAACCUUAAUGCUUUGCUAACUUCUUGUCACGCCAA